UUGCCAUGUUGCUUAGGUUGGUCUUGAACUCCUGGCCUCAAACUUGAUCUACCUACCUCAGCCCCCUGAAGUGCUGGGAUUACAGGUGUGAGCCACCACACCUGGGGUUUUUAUUUGAAUUUGGAUGUUAAACUUCUUGUCUUUAGUUCUUAGUUAUAUCUUGUAACAUCUUAAAACAUUUUGCAAUAUUCAUUACUGUCUUUGUCCCUUUCUAUUUCUAUAUAAACAGCCCUAUAACCUUGGGUUUUUUGGUAUUGAUGUCAAGGAAUUCUCUAGUUUUUCUUUCUUGGUAUUUAAUUACAUAUCAGUCCUGCCCUCUUGGGUCUUACAUUUACUAUGGCUAUUUAGAUUUAUCAGCAUUUGCCCUGUAGGUGUUAAUGUUUUGUUUAGCUCUGUAAUUUGCCCUUAAUAUUUAUUGUCAGUUUUUUCCAGUUACAUCUUCUGCCAUCUCUGACUUUAAGCUCCCUUGAUCACCAACCACAGGGCCAUUUGUUUCUAUGGAGUUUAGAAAGUGUGACAAGGAGAGAAAGUCUAGUUGGUUUAGCUCAUCUUGGAUUAGUCAGAGCCCAUGUUACACAUGCUCAAGAAGUGGCCCCUCUUGAACUAAAGUCUACUCUGUUAAAUAGGAAUCUAAACCUGAAAAGAAUAGUCAGGAUAUUUUAAAGCUGGAAAGAAAAUUUGAGUUAGGGAGUCAACUGUUGUUUCUAUGUUAUACUACAGAAAAGCGUUCUUUGUCUCAGCACUGUGAUUUUGAGUCUCCUGAAGUAGAUGGGCAGGAAGCUUACUAAAACUUUUAAGAUUUCUUAUUCUUGCCAAAUAUGAUUGUCUUGAUUGAAUAUAAUCUUGGAUUAAAUUCUCUCUAGUGUGGUACUGCACUGUCUUUAACCAUUGUUUCAGAAACAUGAAUGCUACCCGGAUAUUUAAUGUCUUUAAAAAUUAUAUAUCCUUAGUAGAAAUACACGUUUACCAAACAUUUCACUUGGUUGUGAUAUUAAUGCUAAUAGUUUUGACAGGAGUAUGGACGAGUAUGGUGACUUAUUCUAAUUUAUAAUUUCAGGCCUUCUUAAAUCUUUUUGACAUCUGAUAAUUUAUGGUCCUUUUGAUAUGUAUUCAUUCCGUGGUAAAUUUCUAAUUUUUCUGAAAUUUUAACUCAUUUUCUCAAUUCUAAAAUAUCAAGUCUGCUUUUACUAUUGACAACUGGUCUUGAUAGAGUCAUAGUCUAAAGAUCACGGGCUGUUGAGCCAAAUAGACCUGUUGAAUUCUGGCUGUCAUUUACUGGUGAUUGUUGGUUACUUAAUUGUUCAGUUUCAGUUUUAAAGUGAGAGUAGUUUAUAUUUGUCUUGUCGGAGAGUGAGGAUUAAAUGUAAAAUACAGAUUUAAAAGGCCUGGUUCAUGUUUUAUGAUUGUGCAUCUUCUUUGAAUCUGCCUUGAUUUUGCCCUUGUUGUGAAGGAUCUUUUCAACUUUUUCGUGUGAUCGUCCUAGCUCAUUCUGCUUAGUGUUAGUGGGAUUUGUAUCAUAUUAUUAGAGAUCAUAUGCCAUCUAUCUUAAGUUUUGUGGAAAAAUUCUAAUUCCAAAGAAAUAUCUCUUAGUUAUGUUUCUCUUUUUCUACACUUUAGAACUUUUUAAUAGGUCUGCCCCAGAUUAUUAUUUUUCUCUAUUCAUGCUUGUAUGUUAUUUAUUGUUCUCCAUUGUUACUCUCCAGUGUUAAAGGGACACUUUACAACCCACCUUUAGGGAUCUGAUUAAAAGAAAAAUUCUAUCUAAGUCCAUGGCAAAAGGACAGGUCAAAUAAAGAUAACAUCUUUUAACUUCCUUCUUAUAUUCCAAGUUCUUGACCUCAGUUCAGGAGCUGGUAUUGAGGGAGCAUCUGCAGCACAUUUUUUUUUUUCUUCUUCUUUUUUAUUUCUUCCCUCUCCCUUCCCCUGGAGCACAUUUUAAACAGUGUAAGCAGGUGGGGCUAUCUUGAAGGUUUGCCCCAGCAGCCUGGGUGAAUGAAAGGAGUCUUGGGAGAAAAAAUGAGAUGUAGUCACCACUUUUAACACUUGCCCUUAAAAAAUACUUUUACAACACAGUUUAUAAUGGAAAGAGCAUUAAAAUGGGCAUUAGAAAACUGCCAGUGAUUCUAACCUUAGACAGUCUGUGUGAACUCCCUAAGAUCUGUGUUUUUUUUUUUUUUUUUAAGUGAUAAAAGUGAGGGAAUUGUACUGGACAGUCCUUAAUUGACACAUCCAGAUUUCUGUUAUUGCUUAACCAAAAAUUUAUGAAUUUCAGAAUUGCUUACAGAGUAUCAGGUGCUGGGUACUGAGAGGUACAAAACAAAGUCUAGCCAUAUAAGGGCUAACUUUUAAGUAUUACUAAUUUGGCUCAUUACAAAAAAAAAAAAUGGGAAAACAUGAAGAGAGGGCUUUAUUAAGGAGUUAAGUCAGCAUAAUGGACCACUUAAUAUAUAAUAAAUCACUUAAUAAAAGGGAAAAAGAAAAAUUAGGAAGUCCACAUAAGGUGGCGUUUUAUAAAGGCAGCAUGCUGUGGUUAAGGACACUUGGGUCAUGGAUGUUUUGUGACAGCUGUGCUCAGGCAUCUCAACAAGCAGCAGUGUGCCUGCUGACCAGUAGGGCCUGCCAUGGCCCAUGAAGCCUAGCUGUUAGACCUCUCUUCCAUUUCUGCUCAGAAAUGUAGAGAUGACAGGGGAAAAUAUAGGCAAGUCCCAGGUUCCUUGGAUAUGGCCAGGGCAAGCACUCAAACACUACAACCUGUGCAGUCAGAGCAGAGCAGAGCCUUGUUUCCUUCUUUACUCCUUGUCUCCUACUUUGCUUGUCUUCACCCACUGUCCUGGACUGUCAGGCCCUGGUUCUCAUCCCUAUGUGUGACGAAGCCAUGCUGUCCCAGAGAGAGACAGAACCGCUUGGUAGUCCCAUGCUUUAGUGUCAGAGUUGCACCUUACCUUUGUAUCCAAGAAAUGCAUGCAGCUCACCUUUCCCUUAAAAGGCUUCUAGGAAAAUACUACCCCAGCUUUUUCUUUCCCUAGAAGAAUAUAUUAGCUUAAUAAGAAAAGGUAUGGUAUCAAACUUUCCAUUUAAAAUAGUAGCCUAAGCCACAAAUUUACCUUUCCUGCCCAUAUGUGCCAAAUAGUCAUUGAAAUGAAGAAAUAUACGCUAAAAUCCAAUGUGAUGUUGGAAAAGAGAGAAGGAUACCAUUUCAAAUAUGACAGGUAUUUCUGGAGGUUACAGAGCAAAUGGUAUUAGGUUGUUGGAAUCCCUGAGCUAAAUAAUGGCUGUGAACACGCCAGCUGAGAUUGAUUAUCUCUGCAGUGCCUGGGCUGUAUCCCUAGCUUAGGCAGCAAAAUAGGCUGUGGGCCAGUGGUCUGGUAUCUGAAAGGAUUGCCAAGACAAGUCUUGCAGACCGCAGGCCCAUGAGCCACUGGGAAGUGGAUUUCCCUAAAUCUGGGAGCCAUUUACAGUCACCUGGCUUUUAUGGGCCCUGCAGCCUGAGAAGUGAGUCAGGGUGGCAGGUACUUCUGGUUGCCACGUUAGACAGAAGCACAAGUAUUUGAUGAAGCAGUGGAACUUAAUGUAACUACUGUCUCACUUCGUAACAUUUUACCUACUUCCACAUUUUUCUAAGGGUUGACCCCUUUUCCUACAGUUUCUCUAUAUCCUUGCCACUGACACAUGCAGGCUUAUGCCAAGACAUAGAGGUCAUGCUCACACCACAGUUAACACAUCUCUCUCUGUCAGUGGCUGAGCAGUAUGAAAGACAAUUGCUAAGAAAGCUUUCCUCUCAGCAUACUGAUCACUUUUAAAGUAUAAGUUAGCAAUACUUCCUCAUGUAAAAAUCUUCCAACAGAUUCCCGUCGAAGUACAAAUAAAAUACAAUUUCAUUCCUAGAGCCAAAUAUAAUUUCUCUUUAGUCUCCUUUCUUUCUUUGCUUCAUCCCCCUGGAUGUUAAGGUGAACAAACAUGUUUCCCAUAUAGAAAGUAUGGUAGGCCGAAUUCUGAAGACGUUCCUCCAAGAGACCCAUCCUCUGCUUAUUCAAUCAAAUCUAGGCCCUGCUGAGAAGGGACCUUGCAGAGGUAAUGUGGUUACAGACCUUUAGAUAGGGAGGUUAUCUUGAAUUAUUUGUGUAGGGCCAAUCUAAUUUCGUAAGUACUUAAAAGCAGAGAAUGUUCUCUGGCUGGUUAGAGAAAAGAAAGGCUGAAGAGGCAGAAGAAAGAUGUGGCAGAGAGGAUGUCCACGAUUCCAAGCAUGAGAAGGAUUUGCUCUGCAGUUGCAGCUCCGUGAUGCAGAAGCCCAUGCGCAAGGGCUAGAGAGAAGCCUCCAGAUAACAGCCAACACAAAGCAGAGAUGUCAGUCCUACAGCUGCACGGAAGUGAAUUCUCAGCAACCUAAAUGAGCCAGAAAGCCUCCCCAAGAGAUUCCAGAUGAGAGUCCAGGUCAGCGGACACCUUGAUUUCAGUCUUUAGAACCCGGAGCAGAGAAACCAGUAGAGCCUCCCAGACUUCUGAUACACAAACUGUGGGUUCUAAGCUGGUAAGUUUAUGGUAGUUUGUUAUCACGGCAAUGUGGGGUGGGAACAUUACACUGUUCUUUGAGUUUGGAAAGCUCUUCCUUACAGCUUCUUCAAGUUGGUAAAAUAUAAUUUCUCCAGCAAGGCCUUCUAUGACCACUGUGAGAUAGCCUCCACUAACUUCCAACACAUGCAUGUCUAUUACUAUCAUAUUUUCCUAUGUUUUUUAUUGGUAGCUGUUACUGACUGAAAAUACUUUUGCUGUGGUUAAGGACACGGGCCAUUGGUGUUUUGUGACAGCUGGGCUCAGUCAUCUCAACGAGCAGCAGUGUCCCUGCUGACCCAAAGGGCCUGCCACAGCAAGUGAAGCCUAGCUGUUAGAGCUCUCUUCAGUAUAGAGCAAUAAACUGGCGAACUAAGCAAGUGCUUCCCUGA